rnacentral:rRNA from 1 species
CCUACGGGGUGCAGCAGUGAGGAAUAUUGGUCAAUGGUCGGGAGACUGAACCAGCCAAGCCGCGUGAGGGAGGAAGGUACAGAGUAUCGUAAACCUCUUUUGUCAGGGAACAAAGGCGGGGACGUGUCCCCGGAUGAGUGUACCUGAAGAAAAAGCAUCGGCUAACUCCGUGCCAGCAGCCGCGGUAAUACGGAGGAUGCGAGCGUUAUCCGGAUUUAUUGGGUUUAAAGGGUGCGCAGGCGGUCUGUUAAGUCAGCGGUAAAAGCCCGGGGCUCAACCCCGGCCCGCCGUUGAAACUGGCAGUCUCGAGUUGGAGAGAAGUAUGCGGAAUGCGCGGUGUAGCGGUGAAAUGCAUGGAUAUCGCGCAGAACUCCGAUUGCGAAGGCAGCAUGCCGGCUCCACACUGACGCUGAGGCACGAAAGCGUGGGUAUCGAACAGGAUUAGAUACCCUUGUAGUC